CAGCCGCCGCGGUAAUACGAAGGGGGCUAGCGUUGUUCGGAUUUACUGGGCGUAAAGCGCACGUAGGCGGACAUUUAAGUCAGGGGUGAAAUCCCAGAGCUCAACUCUGGAACUGCCUUUGAUACUGGGUGUCUGGAGUAUGGAAGAGGUAAGUGGAAUUCCGAGUGUAGAGGUGAAAUUCGUAGAUAUUUGGAGGAACACCAGUGGCGAAGGCGGCUUACUGGUCCAUUACUGACGCUGAGGUGCGAAAGCGUGGGGAGCAAACAGGAUUAGAUACCCCUGUAGUCCCUGUCUCUUAUAC
rnacentral:rRNA from 1 species